GGUUGAUCCUGCCAGUAGUCAUAUGCUUGUCUCAAAGACUAAGCCAUGCAUGUCUAAGUAUAAACACCUUUAUACUGCGAAACUGCGAACGGCUCAUUAUAUCAGUUAUAAUCUACUUGAUCGUAUCCUCUUACUUGGAUAACCGUAGUAAUUCUAGAGCUAAUACAUGCAAAAGAUCCCGACUGGUGACGGAAGGGAUGUAUUUAUUAGGUCCAAAAUCAAUGCUGGCCAUUCGGUCAGGAAAGUUGAUGAUUCAUAAUAACUAAACGAAGCGCAGGCCUCGCGUCGGCG
rnacentral:rRNA from 1 species